rnacentral:rRNA from 1 species
AGUGGCGGACGGGUGAGUAACGCGUGGGUAACCUGCCUUAUACAGGGGGAUAACAGUUGGAAACGACUGCUAAUACCGCAUAAGCGCUCAGUGCCGCAUGGCACAGUGUGAAAAACUCCGGUGGUAUAAGAUGGACCCGCGUCUGAUUAGCUAGUUGGUGAGGUAACGGCUCACCAAGGCGACGAUCAGUAGCCGGCUUGAGAGAGUGAUCGGCCACAUUGGGACUGAGACACGGCCCAAACUCCUACGGGAGGCAGCAGUGGGGAAUAUUGCACAAUGGGGGAAACCCUGAUGCAGCAACGCCGCGUGAGUGAAGAAGUAUUUCGGUAUGUAAAGCUCUAUCAGCAGGGAAGAUAAUGACGGUACCUGACUAAGAAGCCCCGGCUAACUACGUGCCAGCAGCCGCGGUAAUACGUAGGGGGCAAGCGUUAUCCGGAUUUACUGGGUGUAAAGGGAGCGUAGGCGGCUUGGCAAGUCUGAUGUGAAAGCCCAGGGCUCAACCCUGGGACUGCAUUGGAAACUGUCAGGCUAGAGUGCAGGAGAGGUGAGUGGAAUUCCUAGUGUAGCGGUGAAAUGCGUAGAUAUUAAGAGGAACACCAGUGGCGAAGGCGGCUUACUGGACUGUAACUGACGCUGAGGCUCGAAAGCGUGGGGAGCAAACAGGAUUAGAUACCCUGGUAGUCCACGCUGUAAACGAUGAAUACUAGGUGU